GACGAACGCUGGCGGCGUGCCUAACACAUGCAAGUCGAACGGAGCAGAUCCCUUCGGGGGUUUGCUCAGUGGCGAACGGGUGAGUAACGCGUGAGGAACCUGCCUUUCAGAGGGGGACAACAGUUGGAAACGACUGCUAAUACCGCAUGACGCGUAGAGGUCGCAUGAUCUUUACGCCAAAGAUUUAUCGCUGAAAGAUGGCCUCGCGUCUGAUUAGCUAGUUGGUGAGGUAACGGCCCACCAAGGCGACGAUCAGUAGCCGGACUGAGAGGUUGACCGGCCACAUUGGGACUGAGAUACGGCCCAG
rnacentral:rRNA from 1 species